GGUGGCUCAGUGGUAGAGUGCUUGCCUUGAAUGCAUGAGGUCCUGGGUUCAAUUCCUCAGCACCA
rfam:Dipodomys ordii contig_793, whole genome shotgun sequence.